rnacentral:rRNA from 1 species
ACGCUCAGCCAGCUCAUCAAUAACCUAGGUGGCCAGCUGGUGGAAAUCCUCCCUCCUGACGAUCGUUGGCAGAUGGAUGUCACCGCUUGGAUGCGCAAUCCAUCUAGCAUCCCCAAGAUGUACGAUUUCGAGGUACCUGAGCCCGCGGGGUUGCCGAACUCCUUCAACCAGGAAUACACACUUUCCCCGCCACCACCAGCGCCACCGACAGAGAGGCUCACCCUUGUCCACCCGCUCAUGAUUCACGUCCUGGAUGUGGUGGAUCGCACGGUGGCGUUCAUGGAAUUACGCCCAAACUUUGAACCGGAAAAUGACGAGGAUCUCACCAGGCGACAUGACCUCUCGCGCUUCUGCUUCAGGGGGUGA